UACGGAGGGAGCUAGCGUUGUUCAGAAUUACUGGGCGUAAAGCGCGCGUAGGCGGCUUUGUAAGUUAGAGGUGAAAGCCCGGGGCUCAACCCCGGAAUUGCCUUUAAGACUGCAUCGCUUGAAUCCGGGAGAGGUGAGUGGAAUUCCGAGUGUAGAGGUGAAAUUCGUAGAUAUUCGGAAGAACACCAGUGGCGAAGGCGGCUCACUGGACCGGCAUUGACGCUGAGGUGCGAAAGCGUGGGGAGCAAACAGG
rnacentral:rRNA from 1 species